ACUCUUCAACCCACCAGUUUCUUGUAGACUGAUUGGUGUUUGGAUUUUGAGCGUUGCUGGUCUUCGGAUCUAGCUCGUUCGUAAUAAAUUAGCAUCUCUAAUUCGAACUCGGAUUGACUCAGUGUAAUAGACUAUUCGCUGAGGACACGCUCUUGUAGUGUGGCCGAAUGAGAUCUCAGUAGAAGCUUCUAACUACUUUAGUCAACUUUAG
rnacentral:misc_RNA from 1 species